UACAGAGGGUGCGAGCGUUAUUCGGAAUUACUGGGCGUAAAGGGUGCGUAGGCGGUUUAGUAAGUUAAGUGUGAAAGUUCUGGGCUUAACCUGGGGAAGUCACUUAAGACUGUUAGACUGGAGUAUGGGAGAGGGUAGUGGAAUUUCCGGUGGAGCGGUGAAAUGUGUUGAUAUCGGAAGGAACGCCGGUGGCGAAAGCGACACACUGGGUCGCAACUGACGCUGAGGCACGAAAGCCAGGGGAGCGAACAGG
rnacentral:rRNA from 1 species